AGCUCUAAUAGCGUAUAUUAAAGUUGUUGCAGUUAAAAAGCUCGUAGUCGGAUGUCGGGCUCGGGCAGGCUGUCGGCUUCGGUCGGACGGCAGGCUCGGGUCUUUCUGCCUGAGGAUCCAUCUCAUUCACUUGGGGUGGGGACGCAGGCCGUUUACUUUGAAAAAAUUAGAGUGUUCAAAGCAGGCCUACGCUUGAAUACAUUAGCAUGGAAUAAUGGAAUAGGACUUUGGUGCUAUUUUGUUGGUUUAUGGGACCGAAGUAAUGAUUAACAGGGACAGUUGGGGCCGUUUAUAUUUCGUUGUCAGAGGUGAAAUUCUUGGAUUUACGAAAGAUAAACUUCUGCGAAAGCAUUCGGCAAGGAUGUUUUCAUUG
rnacentral:rRNA from 2 species